rnacentral:rRNA from 1 species
CGCUGGCGGCGUGCCUAAUACAUGCAAGUCGAACGGUCUUUCUAUGGAAGCUUGCUUCCACUGAGAAGAUAGUGGCGAACGGGUGAGUAACACGUGGGGUAACCUGCCCAUAAGAGGGGGGAUAACAUCCGGAAACGGGUGCUAAUACCGCAUAGUUUCUUGAUCGCAUGAUCGGGAAAGGAAAGACGGCCUUUGUGCUGUCGCUUAUGGAUGGACCCGCGGCGUAUUAGUUAGUUGGUGAGGUAACGGCUCACCAAGACGAUGAUACGUAGCCGACCUGAGAGGGUGAUCGGCCACAUUGGGACUGAGACACGGCCCAAACUCCUACGGGAGGCAGCAGUAGGGAAUCUUCCGCAAUGGACGAAAGUCUGACGGAGCAACGCCGCGUGAGUGAAGAAAGGUUUUCGGAUCGUAAAACUCUGUUGUCAGAGAAGAACAAGUUGGAGAGUAACUGCUCCAGCCUUGACGGUAUCUGACCAGAAAGCCACGGCUAACUACGUGCCAGCCGCAGC